GGCCAGACUCCUACGGGAGGCAGCAGUGGGGAAUAUUGCACAAUGGGGGAAACCCUGAUGCAGCAACGCCGCGUGAGUGAAGAAGUAUUUCGGUAUGUAAAGCUCUAUCAGCAGGGAAGAGAAUGACGGUACCUGACUAAGAAGCCCCGGCUAACUACGUGCCAGCAGCCGCGGUAAUACGUAGGGGGCAAGCGUUAUCCGGAUUUACUGGGUGUAAAGGGAGCGUAGACGGCUGUACAAGUCUGAAGUGAAAGCCCGUGGCUCAACCGCGGAACUGCUUUGGAAACUGUAAAGCUGGAGUACAGGAGAGGUAAGUGGAAUUCCUAGUGUAGCGGUGAAAUGCGUAGAUAUUAGGAGGAACACCAGUGGCGAAGGCGGCUUACUGGACUGAGACUGACGUUGAGGCUCGAAAGCGUGGGGAGCAAACAGGAUUAGAUACCCUGGUACU
rnacentral:rRNA from 1 species